CUGGUUGAUCCUGCCAGUAGUCAUAUGCUUGUCUCAAAGAUUAAGCCAUGCAUGUGUAAGUAUAACCUUUUGUACGGGAAAACUGCGAAUGGCUCAUUAAAACAGUUAUAGUUUAUUUGAUGGUCUUUUUUUACAUGGAUAACCAUGGAAAUGCUAUGGCUAAUACAUGCGUAAAUGGAUUUGCAUGAAUUUGUAGAUCCAGUGUUUAUUAGAUACAAAACCCUCCCAUUUUAAGUUUUACUUAAGGUGGAGAUUUGGUGAUUCAUAGUAACCGAACGGAUCGCAUUUAAAAGGCUUCGGCCGGCGAUAGAUCAUUCAAGUUUCUGACCUAUCAGCUUACGACGGUAGGGUAUUGGCUUACCGUGGCAGUGACGGGUAACGGGGAAUUAGGGUUCGAUUCCGGAGAGGGAGCCUGAGAAACGGCUACCACAUCUAAGGAAGGCAGCAGGCGCGCAAAUUACCCAAUGAAAACAGUUUCGAGGUAGUGACGAGAAAUAACAAUACAGAGCAUUAAAUGUUUUGUAAUUGGAAUGGUGGGAAUAUAAACCCCUUUCAGAGUAACAAUUGGAGGGAAAGUCUGGUGCCAGCAGCCGCGGUAAUUCCAGCUCCAAUAGCGUAUAUUUGAGUUGUUGCAGUUAAAAAGCUCGUAGUUGGAUUUCUGUGUCGAUUCUCGCGGAUGCCAUGUAAUAUAUUACUGGUGUUGACUUGCUGUGAGUCGGUGCAUUUUCUCAGCUGUGUGAUAUGUUGUGUGAUAAUUCUGACUGUGGAUUUAAUUAUUUGCAAGAGGAACACACAUAGCGUAUUAUAUACCCGCUGAGACUUUUACUUUGAGAAAAAUAGAGUGUUUCUGGCAGGCUUUUUUUGCCUUGAAUACUGCAGCAUGGAAUAAUAAUUUAGGACUUUGGUUCUAUUUUGUUGGUUUCUAGGACUAGAGUAGUGAUUAAUAGGGACAGUUGGGGGCAUUCGUAUUUUACGGUCAGAGGUGAAAUUCUUAGAUUCGUAAAAGACGAACUACUGCGAAAGCAUUUGCCAAGGAUGUUUUCAUUAAUCAAGAACGACAGUAGGGGGUUUGAAGACGAUUAGAUACCGUCGUAAUCUCUACCAUAAACUAUGCCGACUAGAGAUAGGAAAACGUCUCUUGGACUUCUCCUGCAUCUCAUGAGAAAUCAAAGUCUUUGGGUUCUGGGGGGAGUAUGGUCGCAAGGCUGGAACUUAAAGGAAUUGACGGAAGGGCACCACCAGGCGUGGAGCCUGCGGCUUAAUUUGACUCAACACGGGGAAUCUCACCAGGUCCAGACAUAAGGAGGAUUGACAGAUUGAUAGCUCUUUCUUGAUUUUAUGGGUGGUGGUGCAUGGCCGUUCUUAGUUGGUGGAGUGAUCUGUCUGGUUAAUUUCGUUAACGAACGAGACCUUAACCUGCUAAAUAGGGUCGUCAAGAAAUAUAUAAUUUUUGACGUAUCACUUCUUAGAGGGACUUUGCGUGUCGAGCGCAAGGAGGUUUGAGGCAAUAACAGGUCUGUGAUGCCCUUAGAUGUUCUGGGCUGCACGCGCGCUACACUGACACAUCCAACGAGUUUAUAACCUUGGCCGACAGGUUUGGGUAAUCUUUUGAGUAUGUGUCGUGAUGGGGAUAGAUUAUUGCAAUUAUUAGUCUUCAACGAGGAAUGCCUAGUAGGCGCAGGUCAGCAGCCUGCGCCGAUUACGUCCCUGCCCUUUGUACACACCGCCCGUCGCUACAACCGAUUGGAGGGUCCUGUGAAUUCAUCGGAUAUUUUUCUUUGUUGAAUUUAUUUGACGAUAGAGAAUUAAAAGAUGUGUAAAUUGGGCUCUCUAGAGGAUGUACAAGUCGUAACAAGGUUUCCGUAG
rnacentral:rRNA from 1 species